CUUGCUUGCUGCCUGCAGGGACCUUGAUAGUGACACACUUUGUGUUGAGUACCUUAUGUAUUUUCAACCCUGAUAGUAGUGAUUGUAUUUUCAGUACGGUGUUGUACAUAGUGCUGAGUGAUUUGUUGGUCUCGUGAGUUUUCUCUCUCUUAUUCUCUACAAGCUCUCCAGUUUAUCAGAAGCAAUAAACACCAGAAAUAGAUUCCCUUCUAUGACUGAUUGCAGAAGCAAAUGUACCGUUACAGAUCAGUGACAGAGCCUUCAAUGUAUCUGCAACUUUACAAAUCAGGUGAGGGGGCUAUCAGUUCAGUGUCAACAAUCAGUGCCUCAGCACUUUCAUUUGCUAUUUCAAAUUCAGACUGGAGUAUCCAUAAUCUCCUAACCAAUCACUAAUCCUCAGGGAUUUUGAACUGCCAGCCUGCAAGAUGUCUAUUUUUACAUAGGGGUCUGUGCAGCAAAGACAUUAGAUUCUUCACAGGAACACUGGACUGUGUUACAGAGUGGUACCCUUAAAUCUUUAUUGUAAAUCAAGCAGGAAUUUUCUGUUAGUUUUCUGUUCCCUCUGCCUUCCCCCCCCC